rnacentral:rRNA from 1 species
AUUGAACGCUGGCGGCGUGCCUAAUACAUGCAAGUCGAGCGGAUCUUCCCUUCGGGGAAGGUUAGCGGCGGACGGGUGAGUAACACGUAGGCAACCUGCCUGCAAGACCGGGAUAACAUUCGGAAACGAAUGCUAAUACCGGAUACGCAGUUUCCUCGCAUGGGGAGACUGGGAAAGACGGCGCAAGCUGUCACUUGCAGAUGGGCCUGCGGUGCAUUAGCUAGUUGGCGAGGUAACGGCUCACCAAGGCGACGAUGCAUAGCCGACCUGAGAGGGUGAUCGGCCACACUGGGACUGAGACACGGCCCAGACUCCUACGGGAGGCAGCAGUAGGGAAUCUUCCGCAAUGGACGAAAGUCUGACGGAGCAACGCCGCGUGAGUGAUGAAGGUUCUCGGAUCGUAAAGCUCUGUUGCCAGGGAAGAACAGCCGGAAGAGUAACUGCUUUCGGAAUGACGGUACCUGAGAAGAAAGCCCCGGCUAACUACGUGCCAGCCGCCGCGGUAAAAC